rfam:Coccomyxa sp. C-169 plastid, complete genome.
GGCGGCAUAGCCAAGUGGUAAGGCAGAGGAUUGCAAAUCCUCCACUCCCCAGUUCGAAUCUGGGUGCCGCCU